AGCCUGUGGCCAGAGUCUCCACCUGUGGGGGAUGCCCAAGGCCUGGCUUCAGGCUGUGGGAGAGCAGAGGAGGAGCCGGAAGAGCAGCCUCCAACAGCUGCCGGGAGGCACCAGGCUAGUUCACACUUGGAAGUUGGGAUGCCAGGACCAGCCCUCUGCCUUCCUCUGCCUCCUGGCCAACUCCCUCCACACUGAGAAGGACUUUGGGACCCCAACCGUUUGACCACAGGCACUCUCUGCUAUGUCUCCUCUGCUCAGAUUCUGAAUUAAGAUGCUCCCGCCCCACCUCUGCCCACUGUGGCCGUUCACAGGGACUCCGCUAGAAGAAACAGAGU